UUAAAUAUGUUUUUCCUUUAUCACCAAUUUUAAUAUUGCAUGAUGACUCAGGAUGGGACGGCAGUAGAACAUAGGAGUUGGAUGAGUGUCCCAAUAUAAUCUGAGAGAGAUAGGGAAAGGGUAAAGAGGUAAAAAAAUUUUAAGAAAGAAAGAUUAGGACCUGCCCUGGUCGAGCAUCGCUCUCUGGGCUUAGUAGAGUGUGGUUGCCGGAG
rnacentral:lncRNA from 1 species